rnacentral:rRNA from 1 species
AGCUCCAAUAGCGUAUAUUAAAGUUGUUGCGGUAAAAAAGCUCGUAGUUGGAUUUCUGUCGAGGGCGACUGGUCCACACCAUGUGUGCGCAUUGGAUCGGCCUUGGCAUCCUCUCGUUAGACGUUUCUGCGCUUAGUUGCGUGGAGCGGAUUUCGGGACUUUUACUUUGAGGAAAUUGGAGUGUUCACGGCAGGCAAUCGCCAGAACAUAUUAGCAUGGAAUAAUACUAUAGGAUCUUGAUUCUAUUUUGUUGGUUUCUAGAAUUAAGAUAAUGAUUAAUAGGGACAAUUGGGGGCAUUCGUAUCAACACGUCAGAGGUGGAAUUCUUGGAUUGUGUUGCGACGAACUACUGCGAAAGCAUUUGCCCAGGAUGUUUUCA